AAAUUGAAGAGUUUGAUCAUGGCUCAGAUUGAACGCUGGCGGCAGGCCUAACACAUGCAAGUCGAACGGUAACAGGAAGCAGCUUGCUGCUUUGCUGACGAGUGGCGGACGGGUGAGUAAUGUCUGGGAAACUGCCUGAUGGAGGGGGAUAACUACUGGAAACGGUAGCUAAUACCGCAUAACGUCGCAAGACCAAAGAGGGGGACCUUCGGGCCUCUUGCCAUCGGAUGUGCCCAGAUGGGAUUAGCUAGUAGGUGGGGUAACGGCUCACCUAGGCGACGAUCCCUAGCUGGUCUGAGAGGAUGACCAGCCACACUGGAACUGAGACACGGUCCAGACUCCUACGGGAGGCAGCAGUGGGGAAUAUUGCACAAUGGGCGCAAGCCUGAUGCAGCCAUGCCGCGUGUAUGAAGAAGGCCUUCGGGUUGUAAAGUACUUUCAGCGGGGAGGAAGGGAGUAAAGUUAAUACCUUUGCUCAUUGACGUUACCCGCAGAAGAAGCACCGGCUAACUCCGUGCCAGCAGCCGCGGUAAUACGGAGGGUGCAAGCGUUAAUCGGAAUUACUGGGCGUAAAGCGCACGCAGGCGGUUUGUUAAGUCAGAUGUGAAAUCCCCGGGCUCAACCUGGGAACUGCAUCUGAUACUGGCAAGCUUGAGUCUCGUAGAGGGGGGUAGAAUUCCAGGUGUAGCGGUGAAAUGCGUAGAGAUCUGGAGGAAUACCGGUGGCGAAGGCGGCCCCCUGGACGAAGACUGACGCUCAGGUGCGAAAGCGUGGGGAGCAAACAGGAUUAGAUACCCUGGUAGUCCACGCCGUAAACGAUGUCGACUUGGAGGUUGUGCCCUUGAGGCGUGGCUUCCGGAGCUAACGCGUUAAGUCGACCGCCUGGGGAGUACGGCCGCAAGGUUAAAACUCAAAUGAAUUGACGGGGGCCCGCACAAGCGGUGGAGCAUGUGGUUUAAUUCGAUGCAACGCGAAGAACCUUACCUGGUCUUGACAUCCACGGAAGUUUUCAGAGAUGAGAAUGUGCCUUCGGGAACCGUGAGACAGGUGCUGCAUGGCUGUCGUCAGCUCGUGUUGUGAAAUGUUGGGUUAAGUCCCGCAACGAGCGCAACCCUUAUCCUUUGUUGCCAGCGGUCCGGCCGGGAACUCAAAGGAGACUGCCAGUGAUAAACUGGAGGAAGGUGGGGAUGACGUCAAGUCAUCAUGGCCCUUACGACCAGGGCUACACACGUGCUACAAUGGCGCAUACAAAGAGAAGCGACCUCGCGAGAGCAAGCGGACCUCAUAAAGUGCGUCGUAGUCCGGAUUGGAGUCUGCAACUCGACUCCAUGAAGUCGGAAUCGCUAGUAAUCGUGGAUCAGAAUGCCACGGUGAAUACGUUCCCGGGCCUUGUACACACCGCCCGUCACACCAUGGGAGUGGGUUGCAAAAGAAGUAGGUAGCUUAACCUUCGGGAGGGCGCUUACCACUUUGUGAUUCAUGACUGGGGUGAAGUCGUAACAAGGUAACCGUAGGGGAACCUGCGCUUGGAUCACCUCCUUA
rnacentral:rRNA from 1 species